rnacentral:misc_RNA from 1 species
UUUUUGGAGAAACAGACUAGGGGAAAAAAAGAAAAAAAUCCAAUGCAUGAACUAUAAUGCAGGUGCAGCUUCUGGUGGGACCCAUCCCCACCGCAAUCGACGGCUCCGGAGCCUUAUCGUCGUCGUCGUCCUCCUCCUCCUCUAUUGCAGGUUUCAAUUCCUCAAUUGGUGCAGCAUGGAGCUGGGCCCAUCAUCAUAACCGCUUAUCCCGCCUUCGUAAGUGGAGUUCAGUCGUGGUAGCGUCAUCGUCAUGGGCGGCCUUCAACGGUGAGCAAGACCACUACGCGUUGCUCGGCCUUGCUCGAAACGCUUCCUCCGCCGAUAUCAAACGAGCUUACCGCCUUCUUGCUCGCAAGUAUCAUCCUGAUGUCAGCAAGCAUUCAAAAGCUAGUGAGCUGUUCAAGAGCAUCCAUCAUGCUUAUGAAAUACUCUCAAAUGAGGUAACAAGGACUCAAUAUGAUCGAGUGCUUAAAUUUCAAGAAGAUGCUGGCAGUUCAUACGGCAGGAAGCAAUAUUACAAUCAUGAAUUUGAAGAUGGGCUGAGAAUCUACAAAUGGGCUGAAUUGAGGAGGAAAAUGCAGCGCGAAAGAUAUUGGGAACAUUAUAAUGCAAGUGAGGAGAACUCUUCUGCUGACAGUGAUACAGAAGAGGUGGCUGAAGAAGGAAACUUGGAUCAAGAAAGAGG